CAGGGAAGUGAAACAUCUCAGUACCUGCAGGAAGGGAUACUCCGUGAGUAGUGGCGAGCGAAAGCGGAUCAGACCAAACCGGUUGCGCGUGAUACCCGUCGGGGGUUGCGUUGCCGGUGUCGUGGGAUCACGUGUCCCGGUUCCGACGGGCCGGGCGGGAGUCAUAAAACGGCUUGCCAGGGGAACAGGCUUGAAGGCCUGGCCGUAGAGGGUGCCAGCCCCGUACCUGGAAGCUUGCCGUCUUCCGAUCAUGUGUCCCAAGUAGCGCGGGCCUCGUGGAAUCCCGCGUGAAUCAGCCCAGACCGUUGGGUAAGUCUAAGCAUACCUGUCUGACCGAUAGCGUACCAGUACCGUGAGGGAAAGGUGAAAAGCACCCCGGGAGGGGAGUGAAACAGUUCCUGAAACCGUGCGCCCACAAACCGUCGGAGCCUCCUUGUGGGGUGACGGCGUGCCUAUCGAAAAAUGAGUCUGCGAGUCAGUGGCGGGUGGCGAGCAUAAGCCGUGUGGCGUAUGCGUAGCGAAAGCGAGUCUUAAAAGGCGUUUUUAGUCGCUUGUCCUGGACCCGAAGCGGGAUGAUCUAGCCCUGGGCAGGUUGAAGCGCGGGUAAGACCGCGUGGAGGACCGAACCCACCUGGGUUGAAAACCGGGGGGAUGACCUGGGGCUAGGGGUGAAAGGCCAAUCAAAUUCCGUGAUAGCUGGUUCUCUCCGAAAUGCAUUUAGGUGCAGCGUCGGUCGAUUGCGUCGCGGGGGUAGAGCUACCGGAUGCUUGCGGGCCCUUGUUGGGUACCAACAGCAGCCGAACUCCGAAUACCGUUGACGUGUAUUCCGGCAGUGAGUCGGCGGGGGAUAAGCUCCGUCGUCGAGAGGGAGACAGCCCAGACCGUCGUCUAAGGUCCCGAAGCGUGUGCUAAGUGGGAAAGGAUGUGGAGUCGCAUAGACAGCCAGGAGGUUGGCUCAGAAGCAGCCAUCCUUGAAAGAGUGCGUAACAGCUCACUGGUCUAGUGGUUCCGCGCCGACAAUGUAGCGGGGCUCAAGCACACCACCGAAGACGCGGCAGCAAUCUUCAUGGUUGCUGGGUAGGAGAGCGUCCUGCAUGGGGCGAAGCGGCCGGGUAACCGUGCCGUGGACCGUGUGGGAGUGAGAAUGCAGACAUGAGUAGCGAGAGACGGGUGAGGAUCCCGUCCGCUGGAUGACCAAGGGUUCCGGGGCCACGUUCGUCGUCCCCGGGUGAGUCGGGUCCUAAGGCGAGGCCGACAGGCGUAGUCGAAUGGAUGAACGGGUGGAUAUUCCCGUACCGACCAUGGACCGGCAAAACCGAGACGGUGAGUACUAACCUCCGCCUCGUGGUGGUUCCUUCUUUCGGGUUGGUUCCGCCGCGUGGUGUUGGGAGCGUAGCCGCAGUAGGUCAGCGCAGGGGUGACACGGAAUGGGAGCCGGCCGCGGAGGUGGUUUUCCGUGGUCAAGCACGCAGCCAGUCAUGUAGGCAAAUCCGCAUGGCGUGCAUGGCGAGGUGUGAUGAUGGGAGCCGUUAUGGCUCGAUAUCCGGUUGUCCAGGCCGUCGAGAAAAGCCUCGGCGUGAGGGCCAUGGCCGCCCGUACCCCAAACCGACACUGGUGGUCAGGUAGAGAAUACCAAGGCGAUCGAGCGAAUCCUGGUCAAGGAACUCGGCAAAUCACUCCCGUUCCUUCGGUUUAAGGGAGACCCCCGAUGGUGAACACACUUGCUGUGGGAGCUUUUGGGGGUGGCACAGACCAGGGGGUAGCGACUGUUUACCAAAAACACAGGUGCAUGCGAAGGCGCAAGCCGCUGUAUAUGCACUGACGCCUGCCCGGUGCCGGAAGGUUAAGAGGAUCCGUCAGUCCUUCGGGAUGAAGCGGUGAAUUCAAGCCCCGGUAAACGGCGGUGGUAACUAUAACCAUCCUAAGGUAGCGAAAUUCCUUGUCGGGUAAGU
rnacentral:rRNA from 1 species